rnacentral:rRNA from 1 species
GAUGAACGCUGGCGGCGUGCCUAAUACAUGCAAGUCGAGCGAACAGAUAAGGAGCUUGCUCCUUUGACGUUAGCGGCGGACGGGUGAGUAACACGUGGAUAACCUACCUAUAAGACUGGGAUAACUUCGGGAAACCGGAGCUAAUACCGGAUAACCUAUUGAACCGCAUGGUUCAAUAGUGAAAGGCGGCUUUGCUGUCACUUAUAGAUGGAUCCGCGCCGUAUUAGCUAGUUGGUAAGGUAACGGCUUACCAAGGCAACGAGACGUAUCCGACCUGAGAGGGUGAUCGGCCACACUGGAAGUGAGACACGGUCCAGACUCCUACGGGAGGCAGCAGUAGGGAAUCUGACGCAAUGGGCGAAAGCCUGACGGAGCAACGCCGCGUGAGUGAUGAAGGUCUUCGGAUCGUAAAACUCUGUUAUCAGGGAAGAACAAAUGUGUAAGGAACUGUGCACAUCGUGACGGUACCUGAUCAGAAAGCCACGGCUAACUACGUG